rnacentral:rRNA from 1 species
UACGGGGGGAGCAAGCGUUGUUCGGAUUUACUGGGCGUAAAGGGCGCGUAGGCGGCCAGCACAAGUCAGUUGUGAAAUCUCCGAGCUUAACUCGGAACGGUCAACUGAUACUGUGCGGCUAGAGUGCAGAAGGGGCAACUGGAAUUCUUGGUGUAGCGGUGAAAUGCGUAGAUAUCGAGAGGAACACCUGCGGCGAAAGCGGGUUGCUGGGCUGACACUGACGCUGAACUGCGAAAGCUAGGGGAGCGAACGGG